rnacentral:RNase_P_RNA from 1 species
CAAAGAAGGACAGAUGAUCGCCGGUCCGCCUGAAGGCGGGCGGGAGGAAAGUCCGGGCUCCGCAGGGCGGGAUGGUCCCUAACGGGGACCGGGGGCGACCCCAGGGAAAGUGCCACAGAAAAGACACCGCCCUCUUAAGGAGGGUAAGGUUGAAAUGGCGAGGUAAGAGCUCACCAGUUCCGAUGGCGACAUCGGAAGCUUGGUAAACCCCAUCCGGAGCAAGGCCAAAUAGGGAAGCGCUUGAGGACGGCCCGUCCGAGGCUUCCGGGUCUGGCUGCUUGAGGUUGCCGGCAACGGCAACCCUAGAUGAAUGAUCAUCACCUCCCUUUCGGGUAACCGAAGGAAGGAACAGAACCCGGCUUACGGACUUCUUUGGCCA